ensembl:lncRNA
UUUGAGGCGCUGGACAUUCUGAGCUCUUCUCAGGUCGCUCAACUGACGCUAGAGUCUGGAGCGCUGAACAGCGCGUCUCUGAUAAACAUGGUCUUUGAACGGCUAGAGCACGGCAACUCUUUCCAGAAUGUGGAAGAGUUCUUCGUGGCCCUCCACCAGACCUCACAGGUACGUCCUCGUGACUAAGAUGGCAAGCCAUAUUUUGGGCCUGAGUUGGCCAUUUUAAAGUGCAUUCGUGACACAAUUCCAGUUGUGACGUUCGCUUUCUGUGUGUCAUUCCCUCCAGGAUUUGGACAUCAGUCCUGUGGUGAGGGACAUCAUGAUGAAUCGAACCUUCACUAUCAUCAGUCUUCAUUUUGCCGAAUUUGUGACCGGCGACUGGGCUUCCUGGUUCACGGUGAAACUGACGCCUCUCCUUCCCAGCUGGACUGCAGAGAUGCUCCAGACAGCGACCGUACACACCGACUGCAACGGAUACCACAUCAUGGUUGUGGCUCUGAGCAGCGUCUUUGACCAGAUGACUUUGCUGAGACGGCAGGAGCUGGCCCCAGUCCUGUUGGGCUACCUGAAGCAGAGACACGCCUCGGGUAGGUCCAGUGAAGGUGGUGCUUUUUUGUGUCGUGUGCCUAAGAGAAAAAGGCCUGUGGUGCCCUGGCUUUAUGAAUGUCUGCGUCUCCUAAUGAGUGUUUCCCGUGCAUCAUCGUUGCAGGCUCACCUUGUGGGUCCGACACAAGCAGCCUCAGUGCUUGGCUGGAGGAGAGCUUUGGCAAAUUCUCCAUCUAUGUGGAUUACAACGACCUGCGUGAGAUCAAUGCAGGCUUUGGCAGCGUAAGCGGACCGCCGUGAUACCCAUUUGUUUCCCCGUGACUGUUUUGGCCAACCAUGUUACGUCUAAUGAUUUUGUUGUUUUCUCCCCUGAAGUUUGAGGCGCUGGACAUUCUGAGCUCUUCUCAGGUCGCUCAACUGACGCUAGAGUCUGGAGCGCUGAACAGCGCGUCUCUGAUAAACAUGGUCUUUGAACGGCUAGAGCACGGCAACUCUUUCCAGAAUGUGGAAGAGUUCUUCGUGGCCCUCCACCAGACCUCACAGGUACGUCCUCGUGACUAAGAUGGCAAGCCAUAUUUUGGGCCUGAGUUGGCCAUUUUUAAAGUGCAUUCGUGACACAAUUCCAGUUGUGACGUUCGCUUUCUGUGUGUCAUUCCCUCCAGGAUUUGGACAUCAGUCCUGUGGUGAGGGACAUCAUGAUGAAUCGAACCUUCACUAUCAUCAGUCUUCAUUUUGCCGAAUUUGUGACCGGCGACUGGGCUUUCCUGGUUCACGGUGAAACUGACGCCUCUCCUUCCCAGCUGGACUGCAGAGAUGCUCCAGACAGCGACCGUCACACACCGACUGCAACGGAUACCACAUCAUGUACGUAGCGCUCCCCUAGCUUUGUGACCGCUCUGUAACGCCCCCUCUAGUUACACUGUCAAAAAGACUGUGAGGUCGUUUCUCAAGUAGGCUCUAAAGGGUGGUGAAGAACGACGAAAAUGAGGCAUCGUCCUUACCUUUUGUUGUGAUCUUUGCACUCUAGGGUUGUGGCUCUGAGCAGCGUCUUUGACCAGAUGACUUUGCUGAGACGGCAGGAGCUGGCCCCAGUCCUGUUGGGCUACCUGAAGCAGAGACACGCCUCGGGUAGGUCCAGUGAAGGUGGUGCUUUUUGUGUCGUGUGCCUAAGAGAAAAAGGCCUGUGGUGCCCUGGCUUUAUGAAUGUCUGCGUCUCCUAAUGAGUGUUUCCCGUGCAUCAUCGUUGCAGGCUCACCUUGUGGGUCCGACACAAGCAGCCUCAGUGCUUGGCUGGAGGAGAGCUUUGGCAAAUUCUCCAUCUAUGUGGAUUACAACGACCUGCGUGAGAUCAAUGCAGGCUUUGGCAGCGUAAGCGGACCGCCGUGAUACCCAUUUGUUCCCGUGACUGUUUUGGCCAACCAUGUUACGUCUAAUGAUUUUGUUGUUUUCUCCCCUGAAGUUUGAGGCGCUGGACAUUCUGAGCUCUUCUCAGGUCGCUCAACUGACGCUAGAGUCUGGAGCGCUGAACAGCGCGUCUCUGAUAAACAUGGUCUUUGAACGGCUAGAGCACGGCAACUCUUUCCAGAAUGUGGAAGAGUUCUUCGUGGCCCUCCACCAGACCUCACAGGUACGUCCUCGUGACUAAGAUGGCAAGCCAUAUUUUGGGCCUGAGUUGGCCAUUUUAAAGUGCAUUCGUGACACAAUUCCAGUUGUGACGUUCGCUUUCUGUGUGUCAUUCCCUCCAGGAUUUGGACAUCAGUCCUGUGGUGAGGGACAUCAUGAUGAAUCGAACCUUCACUAUCAUCAGUCUUCAUUUUGCCGAAUUUGUGACCGGCGACUGGGCUUCCUGGUUCACGGUGAAACUGACGCCUCUCCUUCCCAGCUGGACUGCAGAGAUGCUCCAGACAGCGACCGUACACACCGACUGCAACGGAUACCACAUCAUGUACGUAGCGCUCCCUAGCUUUGUGACCGCUCUGUAACGCCCCCUCUAGUUACACUGUCAAAAAGACUGUGAGGUCGUUUCUCAAGUAGUCUCUAAAGGGUGGUGAAGAUCUACGCUAAUGAGGCAUCGUCCUUACCUUUUUGUUGUGAUCUUUGCACUCUAGGGUUGUGGCUCUGAGCAGCGUCUUUGACCAGAUGACUUUGCUGAGACGGCAGGAGCUGGCCCCCAGUCCUGUUGGGCUACCUGAAGCAGAGACACGCCUCGGGUAGGUCCAGUGAAGGUGGUGCUUUUUUUGUGUCGUGUGCCUAAGAGAAAAGGCCUGUGGUGCCCUGGCUUUAUGAAUGUCUGCGUCUCCUAAUGAGUGUUUCCCGUGCAUCAUCGUUGCAGGCUCACCUUGUGGGUCCGACACAAGCAGCCUCAGUGCUUGGCUGGAGGAGAGCUUUGGCAAAUUCUCCAUCUAUGUGGAUUACAACGACCUGCGUGAGAUCAAUGCAGGCUUUGGCAGCGUAAGCGGACCGCCGUGAUACCCAUUUGUUUCCCGUGACUGUUUUGGCCAACCAUGUUACGUCUAAUGAUUUUGUUGUUUUUCUCCCCUGAAGUUUGAGGCGCUGGACAUUCUGAGCUCUUCUCAGGUCGCUCAACUGACGCUAGAGUCUGGAGCGCUGAACAGCGCGUCUCUGAUAAACAUGGUCUUUGAACGGCUAGAGCACGGCAACUCUUUCCAGAAUGUGGAAGAGUUCUUCGUGGCCCUCCACCAGACCUCACAGGUACGUCCUCGUGACUAAGAUGGCAAGCCAUAUUUUUGGGCCUGAGUUGGCCAAUUUUAAAGUGCAUUCGUGACACAAUUCCAGUUGUGACGUUCGCUUUCUGUGUGUCAUUCCCUCCAGGAUUUGGACAUCAGUCCUGUGGUGAGGGACAUCAUGAUGAAUCGAACCUUCACUAUCAUCAGUCUUCAUUUUGCCGAAUUUGUGACCGGCGACUGGGCUUCCUGGUUCACGGUGAAACUGACGCCUCUCCUUCCCCAGCUGGACUGCAGAGAUGCUCCAGACAGCGACCGUCACACACCGACUGCAACGGAUACCACAUCAUGUACGUAGCGCUCCCUAGCUUUGUGACCGCUCUGUAACGCCCCCUCUAGUUACACUGUCAAAAAGACUGUGAGGUCGUUUCUCAAGUAGUCUCUAAAGGGUGGUGAAGAUCUACGUUAAUGAGGCAUCGUCCUUACCUUUUUGUUGUGAUCUUUGCACUCUAGGGUUGUGGCUCUGAGCAGCGUCUUUGACCAGAUGACUUUGCUGAGACGGCAGGAGCUGGCCCCAGUCCUGUUGGGCUACCUGAAGCAGAGACACGCCUCGGGUAGGUCCAGUGAAGGUGGUGCUUUUUUGUGUCGUGUGCCUAAGAGAAAAGGCCUGUGGUGCCCUGGCUUUAUGAAUGUCUGCGUCUCCUAAUGAGUGUUUCCCGUGCAUCAUCGUUGCAGGCUCACCUUGUGGGUCCGACACAAGCAGCCUCAGUGCUUGGCUGGAGGAGAGCUUUGGCAAAUUCUCCAUCUAUGUGGAUUACAACGACCUGCGUGAGAUCAAUGCAGGCUUUGGCAGCGUAAGCGGACCCGCCGUGAUACCCAUUUGUUUCCCGUGACUGUUUUGGCCAACCAUGUUACGUCUAAUGAUUUUGUUGUUUUUCUCCCCUGAAGUUUGAGGCGCUGGACAUUCUGAGCUCUUCUCAGGUCGCUCAACUGACGCUAGAGUCUGGAGCGCUGAACAGCGCGUCUCUGAUAAACAUGGUCUUUGAACGGCUAGAGCACGGCAACUCUUUCCAGAAUGUGGAAGAGUUCUUCGUGGCCCUCCACCAGACCUCACAGGUACGUCCUCGUGACUAAGAUGGCAAGCCAUAUUUUGGGCCUGAGUUGGCCAUUUUUAAAAGUGCAUUCGUGACACAAUUCCAGUUGUGACGUUCGCUUUCUGUGUGUCAUUCCCUCCAGGAUUUGGACAUCAGUCCUGUGGUGAGGGACAUCAUGAUGAAUCGAACCUUCACUAUCAUCAGUCUUCAUUUUGCCGAAUUUGUGACCGCGACUGGGCUUCCUGGUUCACGGUGAAACUGACGCCUCUCCUUCCC